rnacentral:rRNA from 1 species
CCCUAUUAUAGGAAAGGAAAAUAACGAGUGGGAAAAAACAAGUAACAUGGCAGUCUUUUAUCUGAUCAGAGGGGUAUGCACCAUAAAUGAAUUUGCACGAUUAUCUGUCCUAAUAUAGAAUGAAUCAUCUUGUACACCACUGUCUGAAAGAAGUUUUGGAAAUAAUUUUUCUUUUAUCAUUACGAUGAAUUAAGGCAAGUUAAGGUGCAGAUUAUUAUUAGGUGGGAGUGUAUUCCAAUCUAAAUGGAUGGAUUAAAGUUAUGAAAUGACUUUUGAAAAGAGAAUUUGAUAGUAAAAUUGGUUAACUAUACUAUUUUGAAAGAGCUAUUAAAGGUGUACACAUCGCCC